UAAUUAAUGUACAGCUAUAAAAUUUUUUUUGUUUUGUUUUUUAUUUUUUGGUUAUUCUGAGUAAUCCUUGUUGUAUACUGAUAUCUACCACAUCGGGUCAUUUGAUCCGCAGAGAAUUUUUCUGCUUUAUGAGAUUAUCGAGUCAUAUUUGUAGUCAGUAAGUUGCACAUUCUUCCAAAGACUGUUGCGCAAAGUAGUUCAACGAAAAUAGCUCAGAAUAGUUUCAAGAAAAUAUCAAAUUUUAUAUUAAAAAUAGCUUUUUAGUGUAAGAAAAAAUGGCAAAAAUUGAAAGUUUUGGUAAGUACCUAGUUUAUAUUUUAUUUUGAUAGCUACAGAUCAUUUUUUACCCAGAAAAAUGUCGAAGCAAACAAGACAGUACAAGUUCUUAGAAGAUAUAAAUAAUAUUGGCGAAGAGUUUUCAGUUUUAGUGAAGAUGAAUUUUCUGAAAAUUAUGAUAUAUUAUUUGCAAAUAAAAAUGAGUUUGAUUCUACAGAUACUGACGAUGACGAGGAAAAUAUUGUGAAUGUAUGUAGUGGCCGAAAAAGAAUAAGAUUACUCCCAAGUUCGGAAAAAAGUGAAGUAGAAAUAAAUGAACAAAAUGUUGCAAUUGAUGGAUCUGUUUGGGAAGAAAUACAAAUAGGUGGCACACCUGGAAGACCACCACUUCAUAACAUUUUCAGUAACAACUAAUCACCACACACAUGUGACGUGAACAAAUAUUACCGUACCCUGCCAGUAGCUAUGCGAUGUUAUUAUUUAUUGUUUUAAGAAAAAAAUAAUAAUCAAAUGAAUCUUACAUGAAAA